AGAUUGACGUUAGACGCAGCUCGGGCCUUCGGCCCCCGCGCGCGUUCGCUCGUCUAGGAUCCCCCCAAGGGGUCCUGAGCCUGCAGCCUCACUCCUUAGACGCAGCUCGGCCCUUCGGCCCUCGUACCCUUACUAACCAACUCUAUGUCAACAUGGAUUGUAAAAAAAAACACAGCUAGAUAACCAUAAAGUUAACGCUAGCUAGCAACAUAAUCCGUGACGUCAUAUGUAGUCGAAGGACCCCGAGUCGAUAUUGUACCCGAGCAGAAAUGGAACCCACGCCGGUCGCUGCUCCACCCCCUCUGCCGAUCCGGGGAGGACCGCGGACUACCACAUGCCUCCUCCGUUACAUGUUGGGUCGUCAGCUGCUUCUUUUCACCUGACAGUCAGGAGUUUCGCCAGGGGGACGUAGCGCGUGGGAGGAUCACGCUAUUCCUCCCCCCGAACAGGCGACCCGACCGAGCAGGAAGAGCUACUGCAGCGACCAGGACACAUACCCACACCUGGCUUCCCACCCGCAGACAUCGCCAAUAGUGUCUGUAGGGACGCCGACCAAGCCGGAGGCAUCACUGGGAUUCGAACCGACGAGCCCCGUGUUGGUAGGCAACUGAAUAGACCGCUACGCCACCCGGACGACCCCCAAUUCUGUAUUCUGCGAAGGCCCCAGCAUCGCACGACCCAUGCAGUGGUUAGGAUGGGCGUUCUCUUAUACGAGGUUGCUGUCUGUGUCCGUCUUCAGUGAGUCAGUCGCUCAGCCUGCCCAGGUUUCUUAUGAUGAGGAAGGUUUGAACGCCCUGGGCACCGCCACAUGAAGAACUCACCGUGCCAAAUGUCUUUUUUUUACCUCAAUAACUAGAUUGAAGGUUAUUAGCUUUGUACUUUUCUGUCUUGAAGUGGAACAUGGGUAAUUUUGCCUAUUUGCGAUGAUCAGUAAGAGGAGUAUAAAUGAAAACACUAGAUAAUAGAUCAUAUAAACAUUGCUUUAUACUGACUAUAGCCUAAAGCUAGGAUCAGCAAUUUUUUCUUUGCAUUUACAUUUAUUUUGAAUUUAAUUGUUCUGCAAGUGUUUAACACAAAGUCAUUCAAGUUUCCUUUUUUGUUUUUCCUCACAAGUAUAUUGGUGUUAUUAAUUGUGUUAUCUGGAUAUGACUGAUAUCAGCAAGUUGCAAGAACUCAAAUCUGCCCAUAGCUAAGAAUAUUGCACUAGCUGUCUUUAUACGCUACUAACUACCAAGUAACUCAUGGCUUUUUGGUUUAUGACUGUGGUACUUAAAUAAAUACAACUGUACAUUUUAA